rnacentral:rRNA from 1 species
UACAGAGGGGGCAAGCGUUGUUCGGAAUUACUGGGCGUAAAGGGCGCGUAGGUGGCCUUCUAAGUUGAACGUGAAAUCCCUGGGCUCAACCCAGGAACUGCGUCCAAGACUGGGAGGCUUGAAUCCAGGAGAGGGAUGCGGAAUUCCAGGUGUAGCGGUGAGAUGCGUAGAUAUCUGGAGGAACACCGGUGGCGAAGGCGGCAUCCUGGACCGGUAUUGACACUGAGGCGCGAAAGCCAGGGGAGCAAACGGG